GGAUCGAAAUCAAGGAGCAGUCCAAGCCCUCUGACCUUUGUGUCCUCGAUGUUUUGAUUACAGUUCUGAAGGUGUAUUGAUAUGGACCUUUCACCCUUGAAGCUGGACAUUGACGAACUUCUAGAUGAGUUCACCAAGGGGAACUUUACCACGCUGGCAGAUAUGAAGAAGGUGUGGAUGGCUAAGAAGUUUUCUUACAUCUAUGAAGCAAAACCAACUACCAAUUCAGCCUUAUUUAUGCAAUCCCUCUAUGCUCAUUGCAUCAGUCAUAUGAGUUCUACUAGUUCUCUAUCACGGAGAUUGGGUGGACUUUAUUGCCUUUACUGUCUUUAUGAGAUUCAACCAUACAAACCUCGCUUCAAGAUUUAUAUAUCUCUUGGAGAGUUAAAGAGGCUAAAAGCUCUGGUUGUUGAUGCAAAAGAAAAUAACAUGGGCAUUGCACCUGCGCUAGUCAAAAGGAUGCUAGAUGGGAACAUGUUUUUAUUUGGUUUUGUUGAUAUAGUUGGUGGCUCUGUAACUCAGAGAGUUGAUGAAAUCACAAAGCUACAGCACAGGCGGGCACAAAUUGCAUGUGAAAAAUUACUAACAAAUACUCAUAUUGAGGACUACCUGCGGAUGGACCUUGGCACAGAACUGGAGCUGCAAACACUCAAGAAAAUGUCAACAGAAUAUGCGAAAGUGAAGGAACUGGCUAUCCAAGAGGCUAGCCAUGCAGUGGAAAUCAAAGACAUCAAGCAUAUAGCAGAAAAUAACAAAAUGGUGGGGGACAUGGUACAGGAGAUUGUGAAAGAAUGGGAUGCUCAAAAAGAAGCAUUUUAUAAACAGACAGGAAUUAGCCAUCAGAAUGAGAUUGUGGCAGUUAAUGGUUUUAAUGAGAUAGUACACCUGUUGAAUGAAUAAGUGUUUCUAGCGUACCUGUUUUCAUCUGGUUUUUCUGACUGUAUAUUUGGUUUCUAAACUCAGCACCAGCAACUGACAGUUGUUAAAUGCUUCGGGCUGGCUGCUUGUUCAAAGCCUCUCUUCAGAUCAACAGGCCAUGAAUUUUAAGUUUUGCGUAUGAUUAGGGAGCAUUUACCUCUGAGCUGCCGAUGGAGGAAAAAAGGGGCGUACGCUUCAGCACACAGUUUAGAGCCAUGAGAAAGUGACAAGCUGCCAUCUCCUUGUUAGGUGCCUUGUGUCAUACAAGACCAUGUUCUUGGAGGGGUUGAAGCUACGCCUCUCGAGACAUGGUCUGUGAGUUCACUGCGGUCUUAAUGCCUGUGUCUGGCCGUCAAACCAGUAUUGGUAGUACAGUGCACUGAACAGCUUUCUGGCUGUUGCAAAUGAGAGUUCCUGAUUGAAUGCAUGUUUAAGUAGGCUCUGAAUCUUUUUUUAAUAUGCAGUGUAAUUUCAAGCAUGGAAACUUUGGAAAAAUUGGCAAGAUAUAGAAAAUCUUGUUAGCGGCAGAUAUUCUUCAGCAUAUGUUAUAGCUGUGCGCUUCAAUUGUUUUUGUUUUGUUGUCACAUAGUAGUUCCUUUUCCUAAUUCUGAAGGACUUUUCUCAUA